CUCACUACAAGAAAAAGGAGCUAUUGUUACGAUUUUUUGAGACUAGAUUUCUUAGUCACAUAUUUGUGACAUAACAGACACUGAUUUGUAACUGAUCUUUUAUGUCAAAAAAGAGUAGUUAUUUGGUCACAAUAUUGUGACCGGUUUUGCUGUAACCAAAUUAUGUCACAUUUAGUGACAUAAAUAUGACAAAAAUAAAUGAGACAAAAAAUGUGACAUAAUUGUAACUAUGUUUAUUGUUACCAUGGCGACAACUAUGCGAGUCUGUGACUAAAGGUUAUGACUCCGUUUAUAUACUAAAUGUUUGUGAUCAAAAAAUUGAAAAGGAUAACAAAUAAAAAAUGUUGUAACUUUUCAAGCACACAAUUAUUUGGAUGAUCUUGUAAGUUUUAUUUAUGUAGCUCCAGUUUUAACCAUAGUUUAUCAUUGGUUUCAAAAAAUAAACCAUGAUUUAUCAUUUUUCUUUUGUGGUUGAAUAUGAAACCUUUUUAUAGACUAAUCCCUAAACUUAAACCCUAAACUUAAUUUUACAUACAAAAUAAUUAAUUUGAUCUUUUAAAAUUUAGAAAUUAAUUCUUAAACUGUAACUUCAAAUAUAUAUUUUAAAAAUUUAAACCUAUAUACUCCAAACACUUAAUCCUGAAUCAAAUAAGUUAAGUCCAAAUCUCAAGUCUAAACCCUAAACUACAUCAAACCCUAUAUCAUAAAUCUGAACUUCAAAUAUAGUUUUUAAACUUUAAUUGUUUUUAAACAUAACUUCAAAGUUUGUUUUCUUAAAAAUCUUAAAUCCCAAGUUUUUUUAACUUAAACUUUUAACCUUACAUAUACUUCAAACCAUAUACUCAUACUUAACCUUAUAUCUUAAGACAUUAAGUCAUAUACAUACUUCAAACUAUUUUUAAAUAUUUUCUAAAUUUUAAACUUAAACCUCAAACUCCAAAUCAUAUAUCAUAAAUUUCAUUUCUAAAUCUAUUUUUCAUAUCUAGAACUAUAUAACAUGUACUCUAAAACUUAUAAUUUUAAUAACACUUUUUUUUUAUCAACAAUAAAACUUAUAAUAAACAUAAAAACUAAAGAAAAAUUAGAAACCAAAAUUAUAUCGCUGUACGAAAUGAGAUUAGAAACAAAAACUCUAAAACAACUAACAUUAAAGAAUAAAACUUGUUGACAAAAAAAAGAAGAAUAAAACUUAUUCUGUCAGUUGAGAAAUAAAGUAUAACAGCCAAAAAGUUCCUAUUGGCUGAUUCACAAGCACAAGGAUCAAGCUUUUCACCGUCGGAUGAAAUUGGAUCCAAUGGACCAAAGUUAUUCCUUUUCUUCAGAUCUCCAUUCAUAUGCUUCCUUAACUGCUGGCCUCCGCAUCUCCGCUCUUCUCAUUCGUCAGAAGAUCUCUGCUCCGUGUACCCUCGCAAGAGCUCUGCCUUCAUCGCUCUCCAUCUUCUACCGCCUCCGUUAAUGGUCGUUUAUUAUAAGUUUUACUUCCAUCAUCUCUCUUCUGCAUGGCUUUUAUUUUGGUGCAGGUUGAAUAAUUGGAUGAGUGAUCUCUCUGUCUUCCAUCAUUUGAUGUCACGCUCGCCGUCCACCACCACUCCACCACGGAAGGUGAUGAUGCAGAAGAAGCUUGAUGGUGGAUGAGACAAGACCAGCGGUGGUCGCAGUGGCUGUUGUGCGGCGGAGGCAAGGCCAGACAUGGCGGCUGCAGGAGGCAAGGCGAGGCACGCAUGGCUGCUUAUUUUUUUUAGGGUUGAAUUGUUUUUUAUGAUUUGGUUUAGUUAUCUAAACCGAAUUUUAUUUUAAACCAAUUUCAUUUUGUAAACCGAGUUAUAUUUAUUUCGAUUUAUAGACAGUAACCAAUUGAAACUGA